rnacentral:rRNA from 1 species
GGAUGCGAUCAUACCAGCACUAAUGCACCGGAUCCCAUCAGAACUCCGAAGUUAAGCGUGCUUGGGCGAGAGUAGUACUAGGAUGGGUGACCCCCUGGGAAGUCCUCGUGUUGCACCCC